GAAGGGCAGAGCUUUUAAUCCAAACACGCUACAGGUUUUCUGAUGUUUAGGUGGGAAAUAACCUUGAUUGCUCUCUUCACACGAUCUAUUCUUAUUCACUAGCUUAGAUGAUUUAUCCCUUUAUGUUACCGGUAUAACUCUGUGAGCAGAAGAUAAUUUAAUUCAAUAGACCAGAUUGUCGCUCUGGGAUGUGAAGAUCAGAAAGAAGGAAAAUAAUACAGAGAUAAUGUUCAGAGAUGAAGAUAAUAGAGAGAAGAGAGAACAUAGAGAAAAUGUGAAGACUUCUGUAUUGAGUAAUGAUCAAAGAAGAAAAUCUUCUCUGUAAAACCCCUUGCUUCAUGUUUUCUCCUCGUAUACUAUUUAUACAAUAUGAAGAUAACAACAUUCAGUUGAACAAAGAACAACUAACUGACAACAAACUAACAGAAAACACUUUAACAGACAAUGAAUCAGUUACAACUUAAAACAGAGUAUCUAUUCUUCAAUGAGCACGUGUUGAUGAAGUUGCUUAUCCCAUCAUCUUUCUUCCACUUGUUUCUGUUCAUAUAAGUUUCUUCGACUAAACCGGCAGUGGUGUUCGAGUGCUGCCUUUCUUCAUUUUCUUUGAUUUCAUCAGAACUUAACUCUCCAAUAUCAGCAACAUGUACAGCAGCAUGUGUUCUUAACCUUUGUCCUUUAACAUCCCUCCUCAAAUUGGGAAGGGGUAAAGAACCCAUACCCAAUUUGAUUCGUAUAUCAAAAUGUGCAAGACGUGACAAAGGUUUUGUAAAAAUAUCUGCAAGCUGACAAUUGCUUGGAACGUAUCUCACAUGUAGUGAUCCUGAGGAAACUUUCUCGCGUACAAAUGGAAAUCAACUUCAAUAUUCUUAGUGCGAGCAUGUAAGAUAGGAUUGAUAGUGAGAGAAAUGGCAGACUGAUUGUCACAGAAUAAAAGAGUGGGAGAUAAGAGAGAGAGACCAAUGUCAUGAAGAACAAAGCUAACCCAAGUAAGAUCAGUAGUAGUAGAGGCAAGAGCACGAUAUUCAGCUUCUGUAGAAGAUCGACUAACUGUUGGUUGCUUCUUUGCUACCCAAGAGAUGAGGUUAGAACCAAGAUAUGUGCAGAAACUAGUUGUGGAUCUUCUAGUCUCAAUACAUCCGACCCAGUCAGCAUCUGAAAAACCAUAAAGAUUCAUGGAACUUCGAGAAUGAAGAAACACCCCAAGACGAACAGUUCCUUUAACAUAUCGCAGAACUCGCUUUAGCUUAUGAAAAUCUGCAACGGUGGGCUUCUGCAUUUUCUAACAUAGCAAAUUUGUAGCAUAUGCAAUGUCAGGACGAGUUAAUGUCAGAUAUUGGAGACCACCAACUAAGCUUCGAUAUUCAAGAGGAUUAGAUAGAAGGAUGGCAUCAGUGUUCAGAAUAGUUGGUCUCAGUGACAAGGGAGUAGAGAUUAGUUUACAGUCAGCCAUGUGAGCUUGAGUAAGAAGAUCAAGAGCAUAUUUGGUCUGACAGAGAAACAAAUUUUCAGAGGUAUUUUUAGCUUCAAUGCCAAGAAAGUAGUGAAGAUCACCAAGGUCUUUCAUGUGAAAUUGAAGACUGAGAGCGUGAAUUAAUUCAGAAAGUAACUGGUCUGAGCUACUAGUUAAGACAGUAUCAUCAACAUAGAGUAAUAGAAGGAUUGUUUCUGUACCAGAAUGAAGUAUAAACAAGGACGGAUUAGUCGUACUACAGAAAAAUCCAUAUUCAAGUAAGAAAUUACUGAAUUUAUCAAACCAAGCACGGGGGGCUUAUCGGAGUCCAUAGAGAGAUUUCUUGAGAAGACACAUGGUGAGGUGUCUGUGGUUGUAUGAAGCCAGGAGGCUGCUCCAUAUAGACUGUUUCAUGUAAAGUUCCAUGUAAAAAGGCAUUUUUAACAUCAAGUUGAUGAAUUGACCAUUGUUUCAUCAUUGCUACAGAAAGCACUAUUCGAAUUGUAGCAUGCUUGACAACGGGGCUGAAGGUUUCAUUAAAAUCAAUGCCUUCCUCUUGAUGAAAGCCCUUGGCCACUAGUCGAGCUUUCAAUCUAUCGAGACUUCCAUCAGGUGCAAGCUUUGCUUUAAAAACCCAUUUACAACCUAUCAUAUCCAUUUGAUUAGUUCUAGGAACUAAUACCCAAGUCUGAUUCUGAUACAGAGCAUCCAUUUCUUCUUCCAUAGCUUUAUGCCAACCUUUAUCUGCUAAGGCUGAUUUAACUAAUCUUGGUUCAGUAGGUACUUCAUAUGCAUCAAGACAUGCAUACCUGGGAUUUUUCUUUAUAAUGCCAGAUUUUGAUCGAGUCUGCAUGGGAUGAGCUGAGGUUAUACCUUGUGAGACAGAGUGAGAAGUGGAAUGAUCUGAUCCAAUACUGAUAUCAUUGGAUGUGGCAGCUUCAGUAGCAGAUACUUCUUGAUCUUGUGAGACAAAGUGAGAAGUGGAAUGAUCUAAUCCAAUACUGAUAUCAUUGGAUGUGGCAGCUUCAGUAGCAGAUACUUCUUGUGCCACAUUUUGCAGAUGUGAUGGACAGGCAGUACAUGGCAUUGUGACUGGUUGGAUAGAAUGGAAAUUAUCUAUAGUAAUGUUUCCAUUAUCCUGCAAAUGUCUUGCAUAAAUCUGUGAAGAUGUAGACACUGGUCCUUCACUUACUGAGUUCAGAAGUUUAACCUCUUCUGUCCAUAGUUGAUAGAGUGUUGUAAGUGGUGUAUAUUAUGCUAUACAGGUCUUAGUAAAAGGGAAGAAAUUUUCGUCGAAUAUGACAAGUCAACUAAUAUAUACACGACCAGUGGUAGGGAGAAGACAUCUAUAUCCCUUAUGGCGUUCACUGUAUCCAAUGAACACACAUGUGAGUAAUCGUGGAUCAAAUUUGUGCUGAGCAUAAGGUUUGAGACAGGGAUAACAUGCAUAGCCGAAGACUCUGAGAUAAUCAUAACUUGGUUCUUGCUGAUACAGCUUACUAUGGGGUGAUUGCAUUUGUAAUUUUGGUGUUGGCAGUAUAUUGAUAACAUGAUUAGUUGUCAUGAAUGCAUCUACCCAAUAUUUUAGAGGAAUUCUUGCAUGAUAGAGCAUAGCAAGACCCAGUUCAACAAUAUGACGAUGUUUCCUUUCUGGAAUGCCAUUCUGUUCUGGUGUGUAAGGACAAGAUAUAUUUUUUUUAAUGCCACAGCUCUGUAAAUGAGUCUGAAACUUAUGGCUGAUGAAUUCUCCUCCACCAUCACAUUGGAAAAUCUUGAUUUUGCAAUCAAAUUGAUUUUCUACUUAUUUUUGGAACAAGACAAAGAUGUUAUAGAAUUCUGAUUUCAGUUUCAUUAGAUAGAUCCAACUGAAUCGAGAGAAAUUGUCUACAAAAAUGACAUAAUACUUGAAGUGUUGAAAUGAACUGACAGGGGAAGGACCCCAUAUAUCACAAUGAACUUUUUCUAGAGGCAUUGAUGCUACAGACUCUGAUAAUGGGAAGGGCAAAGCAGUGUUUUUAGCAAUUUGACAACUUCUACACAUAAUCUGCACUCUGGUAUUGCAAUGAAUCAGUUGUUGAUUUUACAGGUACUUCAGUGUUUUCAGAUUGGUGUGUGCUAAACGUUGAUGCCAUAUAUCUUCUCCUACUGCCCUGUGUCUCUGAGUUAGGAAUGCUUCUAUGGUGUGAGGAUUUACUCAAUACAAUCCUUUAACUUUCCUCCCGAGCAACAGAGUUGUGUUGGUGUAAUUGUCCUUUACAUAUACACCAGUUUUAUCAAAAACAAAUGAACAUGGAUAGUCAUCUGUUAGUUUUGAUACUGAUAGAAGAUUCUUCUUUAUAUCAUGAACAAUUAAUACAUCAUUCAGAGGUAAUGAAUCCACUUCAGUGUGUAGCAAUGCAGUACCAGUAUAAGUAAUAGGCAGACAUGAUCCAUCACCAAUCAUAACAGUAUCAGUACCAUUGUAUUUAGAAUGAUUAUGAAGUAUACCAGGAUUUGCAGUGAUAUGAGUGGUCACACCAGUGUCUGGAUACCACUCAUUUCCUUUAGAGUUUUCGAGGUGUAUUGCUGCUAAUGCUGUUGGAAUUUCCUCAGCUUGAUAAGAGUUGUCAAAGCGAUACCAGCAGUGCUAUGCAUCAUGUCCUGGACGUUUACAGAUUUGACACUCAAAUCUAAUACUGUCAGUUGAUUUCUCAGCCUGCAGAUCUCUAGAAGGGUUUAGAUUUGGAGUGGGAUAAGAUCUAGUUUCUUGAUAUCUUUGCGAGGAACCAACAUAAGGACAAAAUCCCUGAUUAGGGACAGAGCCAGAGGUGUUGCUAAAUUGCUUAAAUCUCUAACCCUCUUGUGCAUAGUUGAAGUUAUUCAAUCUGUAGCUUAACUCUCUUCCAGGAUAUCUAUAACCAUGACCUCUAUUAUUGAGAAAUCGUCCUCUUCCAUAGUUGCGUCCUCCACGACUAUUAACCCUUAAACCUCCAAAACCAGAGUUCUACUGUAUAAUCUCUCUGUCAAGUUCUUCCUUUUGCUGGACCUCUGUUUUUCUUUGACCAUAAUAUGCGAGAGUAGGGUUGUAUUGACUUGAUGAGUAAUUUUGUAGUCUUACUUCAAACCUUUCUAGCUGAGAUAUUACUUCGUCAUAAUCUAGUUGAGGUUUCAAGCAGUAUAUUGUGGUUUUAAAGUUCUUAUACUCAGAUCCUAAUCCUUCUAGAACACCAAAUAGCUUUGUUAUCUCAUCUAUGGGCUUCCUUAUUGCAUUGAGUUGAUCGCAUAUUGAUUUAUACUCCCUGAGAUAUACUGACAGUGCUCGAUCUCGCUUUUGACAUGCUUGUAGCUUUCCUCUCAACUCAAACUCUCUAGCCACAGAUUUUUGCGUGAAUCUGUUGAGUAAGGUUUGCCAUACCUCAUAUGCAGUAUCCAAGCCAAUUAUCAGGCUCAGUAUGUUUUCUGAAACGGCUCCACUGAUCCAAGACAAGAUGAGUUGAUCUGUUUUGACCUAGUCAUUGUAAUUAGGAUUCGCAGCUUCUGUCACAUUUUCUUCGACUUCAACCUGUAACAGCAGUUCAGGUGAGGGGAUUUCACCAUUGAUGAAUCCAAACAGCUCUUGGCUGCGCAGAAACCUAUGGAAUUGUGCUUGCCAAAGAAGAAAAUUAUCUUCAGCAAGCUUGAUAGUAACAAAGUUAGAGAUGUUAACAUGUAUUGGAAAAAGGGUAUUUUGAUGUUCUUGUUGUCAUGUUGCACUUUCAACUCUGGAUCGUACACAGAGAGCAAUUCUAUGUUGUAUCUAUAUAGCAGACUCUUGAUCUCACUAUCAGCUUAAAUGACUCUUUAACCUGUUGUAUCUCUUCAACAUUUGAGAUUAUAUAAGCUCUCGAGAGGCAGUAGCUCCUUCUUCUUCAACUCUCCUCCUCUCACGGAAGCAGCAGCUCGCUCGCAGGCUCUGAUACCAUGUGAAGAUCAGAAAGAAGGAAAAGAAUACAGAGAUAAUGUUCAAAGAUGAAGAUAACAGAGAGAAGAGAGAACAUAGAGAAAAUGUGAAGACUUCUGUAUUAAGUAAUGAUCAAAGAAGAAAAUCUUCUCUGUAAAACCCCUUACUUCAUGUUUUCUCCUCGUAUACUAUUUAUACAAUAUGAAAAUAACAACAUUCAGUUGAACAAAGAACAACUAACUGACAACAAACUAACAGAAAACACUUUAACAGACAAUGAAUCAGUUACAACUUAAAACAGAGUAUCUAUUCUUCAAUGAGCACGUGUUGAUGAAGUUGCUUAUCCCAUCAUCUUUCUUCCACUUGUUUCUGUUCAUAUCAGUUUCUUCGACUAAACCAACAAUGGUGUUCGAGUGCUGCCUUUCUUCAUUUUCUUUGAUUUAUCAGAACUUAACUCUCCAAUAUCAGCAACAUGUACAGCAGCAUGUGUUCUUAACCUUUGUCCUCUAACAUGGGAUGCCUUUUGCCCAUCCUUAUCAUGGCCCCUUUUGUUAAAUAUGGAAACACCAAUCUUGCCUUCUUGACGUUGGCCUUCCACCAAGCGAACAUUACUAAAUGAUGCUGGAUUGGAAAAAGAAUAAUCGUUUCAACUAGCUUGAAUUCGUCUUUCGAACUAUGGUAGCUAUAGCUAGUCGUAAUGCUAUCAAACUUAUCCUUCCCUUGGCCCAAUUUUCCAGUGAAGAUAUUUUGUGCCCUUGACCACUAAGCCCACUCCGAGCCACUAAGCUGAGUGUACAUCUCGGCC
rnacentral:lncRNA from 1 species